rnacentral:rRNA from 1 species
UACGUAGGGACCAAGCGUUGUUCGGAUUUACUGGGCGUAAAGGGCGCGUAGGCGGCGUGACAAGUCACUUGUGAAAUCUCCGGGCUUAACUCGGAACGGUCAAGUGAUACUGUCGUGCUAGAGUGCAGGAAGGGGCAAUCGGAAUUCUCGGUGUAGCGGUGAAAUGCGUAGAUAUCGAGAGGAACACCUGCGGCGAAGGCGGGUGCUGGGCUGACACUGACGCUGGAGGCGCGAAAGCUAGGGGAGCGAACGGG